UGAGAGAGAAGACUGCGGAACAAAAAGGAGUUUUGCCAUGUUUACUAUUGCGCUUUCUUUGGGAAAAGUGUCAGAGUUGAAAAAAUUUCAGAGCAAAAGAUAUGUUUCACUCCAAAACUGGGGGGCAUGUGUUGACGCCGGAUUUUGACACAUGUUUGGAUCAGUGUCAGAGGAGAGGAAGGCAGUCGAUGCGGUGGGCUAGAAGCUACAGUUGGGAAUCGGCCAAUUAGAGCUACAGUGUUUCGGCCGAUUGGUGGAAGGAGUCAAUGGAGGCUGGCCGAUUGGGAGCCAGAACGGCUUGGUCGGUGUGGGCCUAAAGUGGGCCAGGG
rnacentral:lncRNA from 1 species